AAAACUAUACUUUCAGGAAUCAUUUCCAUAUGUUACUAGAGAAAUUUCUCUGAUCCUGUAGAGCACCAGAAACCACGAGGAGAGGCGCAGCAAUCUCUCCUGAGUGUGAAACUGGCUAUUGGUGCUGCUUCACUGCAACUGCCAUUUGCCAGUGAUCAUGGUUCCUCUCUUCCUCUAGGAGAUCAGGCGGGAGAGGAUGCAGUCUGAGUGGU
rnacentral:snoRNA from 1 species